rnacentral:rRNA from 1 species
UACGAAGGGGGCUAGCGUUGUUCGGAUUUACUGGGCGUAAAGCGCACGUAGGCGGAUAUUUAAGUCAGGGGUGAAAUCCCGGGGCUCAACCCCGGAACUGCCUUCGAUACUGGGUAUCUUUGAGUCCGGAAGAGGUGAGUGGAAUUCCGAGUGUAGAGGUGAAAUUCGUAGAUAUUCGCAAGAACACCAGUGGCGAAGGCGGCUCACUGGCCCGGUACUGACGCUGAGGUGCGAAAGCGUGGGGAGCAAACAGG